rnacentral:misc_RNA from 1 species
AACGCAACUUGCGCCCCCCGGUAUUCCGGAGGGCAUGCCUGUCUGAGUGUCAUGUGGACUCAACCCCCCGGGUUUCCGGAGAGGUUGGAAUUGGGCGCUGCCGUCUCCCGGCUCGCCUCAAACGCCUCAGUGGGGAUCAGACCCCUUCAGGAGUGAUAAGUAUCUUCUGACGGUCGGUCCGGUGAACCGCUCACAACCCCGUGCCCCGGCACACCUUUGACUCUGACCUCAGAUCAGGUAGGGCUACCCGCUGAACUUAA